rnacentral:lncRNA from 1 species
GAGCCCGCAGGGAGCUUCCCACGUGGACAAGCUCAGCGAGCAGCUUCUGGGCUAGUGUUCCUGUUGCCUCUCAUCCAACAUGCGCAGACCAACCAGGAGGCCCAGCCAGAGCUUAGGGCACUGGCGGACACAGGGUGGGAGGGCCGACUGGGCGGGCAGGUGGGGCAUGGACGAGUCCAGACAGAGCCACUUCGGGGCCGACGUGCAAAGCCAGGUGUGAGUCAGGGACCAGCGGCGCUGACUGCAGCAUCCACUCGGGUGGGGUCAGCUCGCCCCUGGGCGUGGUCAGCGAGUGAGGUUGGGAAGAGAUGGAGGGCUCAGCACCGCGGACAGCACCCUCUCCCUCAGGCUCCAAACCAGGCCCUCCGGAGUCCUGGACCCCCGCCUUCACCGAGGGCGUCAGCUGCUGUGGGCCACCUGAGGCAGACUCCUUGGGACCGUGGCCGUCUACUUUGUCCGUUCUUCCUCCUGGAGCCAGAGUGGCAGAGAUUAAAGCAAAGCUUUGCCAAGAAGCCCGCAGGCCGUGAUGAAGUCAGGUUUGGAAGGAGACCGAAGGACGUGUCAGCGCGCCUGCCGUCAGCAAGCUGGUGCACCACUGGACCGACCUCGUGGCCGACGCCCACAGCUGGACUAGAGCCCCUCUCGGACCCCCGGGCUGAUCCCCAUCGCUCGCCGACCCGAGAGCGGAUGUUCCAGGUCAAAACCAGCUGACUCCAGGGGUUCUGCUGCACGGCAGUUCCUGUAGGUGAAAAUGCUCCGAAUUGGGGGAAGCCCCUCCACGCAACGUGUGUCCCCCCUGGGCCUCAGCCCUUGAGCUGGGACCCCCAGACCAUGUGCAGCCAGGAGCUAGUGGGGGGCACCCAAGAGGGCACCACGGUUUCAUGGAGCUUCUGCCCAAGAGCAGACACCAAUUGAGCUUGGCAGGUGCGGAGGGGGCGCUGCUGGAGGGGGUCCACAGGCAGGAGCCCUGUCCAGUGACCUGUUUCCAUGCCUCCUUCGGGACACCACCUCCACCGAACUUUGUGUGAAACUGGAUGCUUUUGAACUGUGGUGUUGAAGAAGACUCUUGAGUGUUCCUUGGACUGCAAGGAGAUCCAACCAGUCCAU